UUUAAAAUAUGAUUUUAUGUUGUUAAUGAGAUUAAAGAAAGAGAAACUUGAGUAGUCAAGUAUUGGACCCAAAUGUCAUAUAAUUUUAAUUGGGGAUUUUUAUAAAAUUAAGAAAGUUUUGCUAAAGGACUUAUUUGAAAAGAAUUUUAGUAUUUUGGGUCCAAGUGUAAUUUUUAAAAAAUAAAUAAAAAAUAAAUAAAAAAUAAAUAAAUAAAAAAAAAAAAAGAAAAGAAAAGGCUUCAGCCUUUCUUUUUACCCGAGCCCCUCUCUCUCUCUCUCUCUCCUCAGAAACUCUCUCUCUCUCCUCAGAAAACCUCUCUCUCUCUCUCUCUCUCUCUCUCUCUCUCUCUCCUCUACGUAUUACUGUUGCCGACGACGCAGGAGUACUUUCCGGCCACCAUUUUUAGCCACGCGCCGGACCGUUGGAUUCAGAGGCCUCCGAACUAUCGACCCACGCGGGAAUCUAGAGCUCACUCGCCGAUUAAACGCCUCAACCACUCGAUUUAAGUUCGGCCACCCCGCGACUUCAAAGUUGCGAUUCGGCCACCUCGGGCAUCCGUUUGCCGAUCCGUCACCACCAUCGUGCUCCUCGUGUUGUGGGCUUCAAAACCCAAUAACUUGUUCCUACAUCUACCAUAGUUGGGUGGUGGGCCCACCACGAGCCACCGCGAUCCACCGUAGAUCGACGGUCGAAACUUAGUGUUCGAGGUUCCGAAGUACGUUUUGAGUCUCAGAAAAUCAUCGUUUGACUUAUUGUGGAACCCGAUCAUUUUGGAUUUGUAUGGAUUUAAUUGAUUGACUCUUGGUGAGCCGUUUUAAAAUAAGCUAAGGACCUAAGGUGUGGCUUUAGCUGUUGAGCAACUUGUGGAGCACGGACUCAGUAGCAAUGCAAUAAUGGUUUAGAGUUUUCAUAUGGCUGCCUUAAAUUUAAAGUAUUCAUACGUGUAAUAAUUUCUUCUAAUAAGUUUAUAUAAAAGUUUUAAAUUUUUCUGUAUUUCUUCGUAUCAUUUUAUUUAAUUCUUUUGGUCAAGUGCCUUACAUACUCGUAAACCCUAGAAUUACGAGUAUGUGGCAGACGUACCCUACCUUAGGGACGUUUCAGAUUAGAUGGUCACAGACAUGUUGAGAAGGUGCCAUCCGAGCAUUGGCAUAAUUCUUGGUGGCCUCAAAAUGAGUCUGCGCUGACUCGGCACCAAACAUGUCUUGGAGCUGAUCCAUGAUUUCGUAGGUUGUCUCGACAUUCUCCAUCUUUGUCAUGAGAGUGUCGAUCAUACUAGGCAACAUGUAGUACCGCGCCUUGUUUUUAGUCGCUUGCCAACACUCAUACUUAUCCAUCACAGACUUGGUGGCUCCAUUAGCUAGAACUUAUGGGGAUUCCCCAGUCAUA